rnacentral:rRNA from 1 species
CACUCCUACGGGAGGCAGCAGUGGGGAAUUUUGGACAAUGGGCGAAAGCCUGAUCCAGCAAUGCCGCGUGAGUGAAGAAGGCCUUCGGGUUGUAAAGCUCUUUUGUCAGGGAAGAAACGGUGAAAGCUAAUAUCUUUUGCUAAUGACGGUACCUGAAGAAUAAGCACCGGCUAACUACGUGCCAGCAGCCGCGGUAAUACGUAGGGUGCAAGCGUUAAUCGGAAUUACUGGGCGUAAAGCGUGCGCAGGCGGUUUUGUAAGUCUGAUGUGAAAUCCCCGGGCUCAACCUGGGAAUUGCAUUGGAGACUGCAAGGCUAGAAUCUGGCAGAGGGGGGUAGAAUUCCACGUGUAGCAGUGAAAUGCGUAGAUAUGUGGAGGAACACCGAUGGCGAAGGCAGCCCCCUGGGUCAAGAUUGACGCUCAUGCACGAAAGCGUGGGGAGCAAACAGGAUUAGAUACCCGAGUAGUCCCAUG